CAUUAUAUGAGGGGCAGCUUUUUUCCUCAUCUGAAAAAGGAGUCUCUUUUCUUCCCCCUGGGAAUAUCUCUGGUGAGUCCCCUCCCUCAUCUUAUCAAACCCAGCCCUCCUGGCGCAGGCUCAGUAUUUAGAGUUUGUUUGUUUAUUUUCAAUUCUCCGAGGGGAAAAUUCCUUCUUCCCCUUGUUGAAAAAUGCUAAAAUAGAAACUCCAGAAAAUUUAAAAGAAACGGAAGAAAAGAAAAAAAGAUGUUAAAAAAAAGGCAAGGGAAGGAAGGGAGGAGUAGACAUGAACAGGAAAUGCUGGGAUCGAAAACAGACUGAAGUGUUUUUUUUUGGUGGGGGGAAUCAAGGCCUAAAGGGCACGAAGAAGAAAAUCAGUGAUGAUCAAGCUGGCCUGGAGUCAGAAUGAGAGGGGCUAGUCAUCACCAGAGUGGGACGCAGGAGGCUGAGGGAGGUUCAGGAAGCCAUUCGUUCUUUCGCGUCUGCGGUGCCCGGAGUGUGGUACUUCUCCUAGUUGCAGUCAGGCUUCAUACGCUAUUGUCCUGCCCGUUAGAGCAGCCAGCGGGUACAGAAUGGAUUUUGGAAGAGGGAGUCACCACUGGACCUCCAAGGAAGCCACGUGCAGACAUCUACAACCUUCGAUCUCCUGACGAGUUUAUUGUUGGCCAAAACCAGGCUUUGAUUGAACCAGGAUGAAUGCGGGUGUUGGAAGUAGAAUAUAUAUAUACAUAUAAAAUUGAAACUGGCGAUGGAAUAUGAGAGGAGCCCUCUGGAAAGAAAAGGACAGACCCUGUGCUUUCAUGAAAGUGAAGAUCUGGCUGAACCAGUUCCACAAGGUUACUGUAUACAUAGCCUGAGUUUAAAAGGCUGUGCCCACUUCAAGAAUGUCAUUGUUAGACUUUGAAAUUUCUAACUGCCU
rnacentral:lncRNA from 1 species